rnacentral:rRNA from 1 species
GAUGAACGCUGGCGGCGUGCCUAAUACAUGCAAGUAGAACGCUGAAGCAAGGAGCUUGCUCUUUCCGGGUGAGUGGCGGACGGGUGAGUAACGCGUAGGUAACCUGCCUGGUAGCGGGGGAUAACUACUGGAAACGAUAGCUAAUACCGCAUAACAGUAGAUGUUGCAUGAUAUAUACUUAAUAGGUGCAAUUGCACCACUACCAGAUGGACCUGCGUUGUAUUAGUUAGUUGGUGAGGUAACGGCCCACCAAGGGGACGGUACCUAGCCGGCCUGGAGGGGUCAAUGGCCACACUGGGACCGAGGCACCGCCCAAGCUUCUACCGGAGGGCGCCGGUGGGGAUUAUCGGCCAUGGGCGGAAGGCUUGACGAACAACGCCGGCGUGGUGGAGGAAGUCCUCGGGUUGGUAAGCUCCUUUUUAUGAGAAAAAAGAGCGGCAGAGUGAAAAGUUCACGUUGUGACGGUACCUAACCAGAAAGCGACGGCUAACUACGUG